UAUUUGAACUGAAUUAUAUUACAUAAGUUUUUAUUGUAAUUAACCCUUCUUCUUUUUAAUAGGCAAUUUUUUAAACCAUAGUUUUUACUACAUUUAUUAACAUUUAUAGUACAAAAAGUUUAAAAAAUAUAUAAAACAAGAAUAUGAUGCAAAUUGGCCAAGAUCACAAAAACCUAAGCCCUUAAGAUCCUUUUCAUCCCCAGCCGCCACACACCUCACCCUCUUCGCCUUUGCUUCGUCAAUAAUAUCGAAUUUGCAGUUGUUCAAGUUCUAAUUUUCUUUCCUCUCCACUUGUUGUUCACAAGUAUUUUUACUUUCUUCUUUAAGUUGCCAUAAUCGUAGACAUUGAAGUAAUUGUCUUUUUUUUUUUUUUUUUUUUAUGUAGAUUGUUUCUCAUCGGUUCAAGGUGAGCAAUGGUGAUUCCAUUUAUAUUGAGAGUGAUGUUUUGUGAAGUCGACGACAAGGAAAAUUUGUGGAAUUAUUAGAGCAACGAUGAUAAGUGAAUAUUGAUCAAACUUCGGUACAAUUGGAGACAAUGACGGAAGAAAAAAGAAAAGACUAUUCAACUUUAUAUCUUAAGCAAGACACUACUAUUGUAAUUGUUGUCAUAGAAAAAUUAUGUAUUGUGAAUAUUUUGAAAUUUAACUAUAUAAUUAUGUGUAACUUGAAAUCUAUUUGGAAUCUAAAUAUUUUGGUUUUUCACUA